CUACGGGAGGCUCCAGUGAGGAAUAUUGCACAAUGGGGGGAACCCUGAUGCAGCAACGCCGCGUGGAGGAUGACGCAUUUCGGUGUGUAAACUCCUUUUAUAUGUCAAGAAAAUGACGGUAGCAUAUGAAUAAGCACCGGCUAACUCCGUGCCAGCAGCCGCGGUAAUACGGAGGGUGCAAGCGUUACUCGGAAUCACUGGGCGUAAAGGACGCGUAGGCGGGUUGGAAAGUCAGGUGUGAAAUCCUACAGCUUAACUGUAGAACUGCACUUGAAACUUCUAAUCUAGAGUAUGGGAGGGGGAGAUGGAAUUAGUGGUGUCGGGGUAAAAUCCGUAGAUAUCACUAGGAAUACCUAAAGCGAAGGCGAUCUCCUGGAACAUUACUGACGCUAAGGCGUGAAAGCGUGGGGAGCAAGCAGGAUUAGAUACCCGAGUAGUC
rnacentral:rRNA from 1 species